UACGUAGGGUGCAAGCGUUAAUCGGAAUUACUGGGCGUAAAGCGUGCGCAGGCGGUGAUGUAAGACAGUUGUGAAAUCCCCGGGCUCAACCUGGGAACUGCAUCUGUGACUGCAUCGCUGGAGUGCGGCAGAGGGGGAUGGAAUUCCAGGUGUAGCGGUGAAAUGCGUAGAUAUCUGGAGGAACACCGGUGGCGAAGGCGGCAUCCUGGACCGGCACUGACGCUGAGGAGCGAAAGCCAGGGGAGCAAACGGG
rnacentral:rRNA from 1 species